rnacentral:rRNA from 1 species
GAGUUCCUACGGGAGGCAGCAGUGGGGGAUAUUGCACAAUGGGGGGAACCCUGAUGCAGCGACGCCGCGUGGGCGAUGGAGUGCUUCGGCAUGUAAAGCCCCAUCAGCAGGGAAGAAAAUGACGGUACCUGACUAAGAAGCCCCGGCUAAAUACGUGCCAGCAGCCGCGGUAAUACGUAUGGGGCAAGCGUUAUCCGGAUUUACUGGGUGUAAAGGGAGCGUAGACGGCUGCGCAAGUCCGGAGUGAAAGCCCACGGCCCAACCGUGGGACUGCUCUGGAAACUGUG